CACGUAGGGCGCAAGCGUUGUCCGGAAUUAUUGGGCGUAAAGAGCUCGUAGGCGGCUCAGUAAGUCGGGUGUGAAACCUCCAGGCUCAACCUGGAGACGCCACCUGAUACUGCUGUGGCUAGAGUCCGGUAGGGGAGCGUGGAAUUCCUGGUGUAGCGGUGAAAUGCGCAGAUAUCAGGAGGAACACCGGUGGCGAAGGCGGUUCUCUGGGCCUUACCUGACGCUGAGGAGCGAAAGCGUGGGGAGCAAACAGG
rnacentral:rRNA from 1 species